ACCCGCUGAACUUAAGCAUAUCAAUAAGCGGAGGAAAAGAAACCAACAGGGAUUGCCCUAGUAACGGCGAGUGAAGCGGCUACAGCUCAAAUUUGAAAUCUGGCGUCUUUGGCGUCCGAGUUGUAAUUUGCAGAGGGCGCUUUGGCAUUGGCAGCGGUCCAAGUUCCUUGGAACAGGACGUCACAGAGGGUGAGAAUCCCGUACGUGGUCGCUAGCCUUUACCGUGUAAAGCCCCUUCGACGAGUCGAGUUGUUUGGGAAUGCAGCUCUAAAUGGGAGGUAAAUUUCUUCUAAAGCUAAAUACUGGCCAGAGACCGAUAGCGCACAAGUAGAGUGAUCGAAAGAUGAAAAGCACUUUGGAAAGAGAGUUAAAAAGCACGUGAAAUUGUUGAAAGGGAAGCGCUUGCAGCCAGACUUGCCUGUAAUUGCUCAUCCGGGUUUUUACCCGGUGCACUCUUCUAUAGGCAGGCCAGCAUCAGUUUGGGCGGUUGGAUAAAGGUCUCUGUCAUGUACCUCUCUUCGGGGAGAACUUAUAGGGGAGACGACAUGCAACCAGCCCGGACUGAGGUCCGCGCAUCUGCUAGGAUGCUGGCGUAAUGGCUGU
rnacentral:rRNA from 1 species